GGCCUCGUAGCUCAGUUGGCUAGAGCGUUGGCUGUACUAGAGUCUUCCCCUUGCUGGAUUGGGUUCGAAUCCCACCGAGGCUG
rfam:Schistocephalus solidus strain NST_G2 genome assembly, scaffold: SSLN_scaffold0001422